CUAAAAUUUGAGUAUGAAAAAAAAAAAUUUUAAUUGAUCUCAGCACAGUAGCUAUGGUGAUCUGUUGACCUCAGUGUUUGUAGUUGGGGGUUAACAUUCAUGBCAAGAAUCAGAUUACAACCAUAGAAUGACGAUUUUGUACCAUUUUGAAAUGCUUAUAUCUCACAAACUAUUGGUGGGUCGGGGUGGGCCGCCUGCUUUAAAUCAAAGUUUAUUCUUUCAUCUUUCUAUACAUUUGAUUAUCUGCCAUUAAAUCUUUAAAAACAUAUAAGUUCUCAUGCCUUAAACAUUCCUACUUGAAAGCGAUCUUCGAGUAAAUAGCGCGUAUUGUGAUUCAAAGGGCUCGUUUUAGUUGAUAUUUUCCUUCUUUGGUUGUAAUUUUUCAAUAUGUUCAACCUAUGUUUAUGUACUUCGAGCUCCAASAGUUUCAAGAAAAAAAUCUAUUGAAUAGUCUCAAAAAUCGGCUGUUUUUUUGUCUUGGUCUGACCUUUUCUUUGCCGAAAUCUCAUGUCGCGCAAAGUUAAAAGUGGCUUUGUGAUUGGCUGGUUUCUGCACCAUAUCCUUUUCGGAGGAGUGUCCUGCCUCCUCUGGUCAAAAAAUAGUAAUUUUUGUUAUUUAUUUCUCAUGAUUUUGCUCAGAAAAGAGCAAAAUCGACCCAUAGCGAUGGACUGACCUUGCUUGACAACCAGCCAGUCAUCCGCAAAGUCACACAAAUUUGCAUACUCUAUUUACAGCAAUGUUUGUUGAAGCAGAAAAUAAUCCGAUUUGCUCGACAAUCUUGCUUGUUUCAAUAGCGCUCCGCACAGAUGACGUCACACAUUUUGCACCCCGUCGAGAACUCAGACAAACUUUACAAUGCUGCAUACUAAUCCUUGGUAAAUUCGCCAUCUUUAGUCAUCGAUAAUGGGUAGUUAAACGCAACGAAUUUCUAUUCUGACUUAAGAUUAUAACGUGUAGGGCUCUUAACUUUGAUAAACUUGUAAAGAAUUCCAAAUUCGAGUGAAUAAAACGAUGUUUCAYGGCCCCUUAUCUCACCCUAAUCUCGAAUUAUUUAGGGCUCCAAAUCUUAAAAUUGAAGCUAUAUCGUCAGAAAAAUAGCAUUUUAAAGACUUUUUGAGCAAUAGGCAUCUCAUUUAGGAAUCUAAAUCAAACAAAGUCAAGAAAUAGAGUAUUCAAAGAAGCAGAAAAUUAUAUAAUAUAAAGUAAAUGUGAGCAAAAGUAAAGCAAAAGCGGGCCGUUAAACUGGCCCAAAACUUGUGAUUAAACUAAUAGGAAACCAUUAUGUAUAUACGAAUUAGCUUGAGUUGAUAUUUCUUUAGAAUUUAUUUUUUAUUCGCAUAAUACUAGUCAAUUGAGUUUUCAAGUUUGACAUAAAGAUCACACACAACGCCAUGAUCCUCCAAGAUUCGAUGGAAUCAAAUGCGUUUUAAUGAAGUUUACUUUGCUCCUAACAACUAAAGCAGCCGAUUUCGAUUAUCUCCAAAUACUUCUAGAGUAGUUGUUCUGGCAAAAAUUUAUAUAAAACACAUUUUAUACUACCGUAACAUAGGUCAGGUAGCGGGCAUAAGUCCCAAGACGAUAGGCGGAUCUGCGAGACAUUCAGGGCAUUUACAGAUGAUAUUCCAUGGUCCAAUGAAGCAGUAGUGCUUACUCGACAUAAUCGUUAUGUUUAAAAGCUUCUAGUACGAAUAUAAUUGAAGAUAUUUCUCGAUGAGAUCAGUGGUUUUUUGGUGUGUAUGGCGUGUUUGGGUUCAAUGUCUGAGUCCAUAGGGGGUCGCAUAUUAAUGUAUCUAUUUUUAGUAACUGUGCGGAGCGCUAUUAAUUUUUGCCGUUUUUUGCGUGGACAUAUCUAAAAUAGUUAUUGAGCAAAUUGUUGAGGUUUUGUUUAUGGUCAACACUCUAAAUCUUUUGUUUUUAUAAUCUGCAAAACAGCUAAAAGACUAGAACUGCRGCUACAUUCAAACAUAAUGCAGUCGAUUUGCGUGGCAUAUCGGCAUAAUAUUUGAUGUUUUGCACGGCGAUUGCAAGCUUAAUAAGCGCAUUGAAAGAAUGCAUUUGCUUUUCAAAGCUACUUUACUGCUUCUGUUUUAUCGUUGGUUGAACUACUGAAGUUAUUUAAAACUUGACAACAGAAUGCCGAAAUAAACGUAGCUAACAAUAACAACAACUCUUCGUGGCACGACAACUAUUUUAAAGUAUGUAAAAGAAAAUCUAAUUUUAUUUGGUCUGAAACCCAUUAGCAGAAAUGAGAGACAUUUUGCUCCCGCGUUAUAUUUGAUCUGCAGUUUCAUUAAGGUCCAGUGAGUAGGCCCAGUGGUGUCAAUUUCACAUAACAAACAUGGCAAUGGAGCGUUCUCGCAGUGGACAAUGAGCCAAAAUUUUUGAGUAGAAAAAAGUACAAGAAAGGAUCAAAGAUUUACCAAGUUGAGAGAAUUAUUAGCAGGCGGACAUCGAACAAGAAGGGUUUUGAAUACCUUGUGAAGUGGGAGUAUUGGACGCUCUGGGCAUGUUCGUGGGAACCAUCCGAACAUUUAAACAAACAUUUAAUAAGGAACCACAAUAACCCAUCAGUUUGCCCGGAAAGGAUACAGAAAGUGGCUUCUUUGCUUCUGGACGCAAUUUUGUCUGUUCUGAAAUCCAACGCAGCAAAAGUCAUACAUUCUGUUGAUGUAAAGAUUGAACAUGA